rnacentral:lncRNA from 1 species
CCGACCGAAUAGCCGCAGGGCUCCAAUCACGGUGUGCACCUUUUAUAAGCGCCGCUACACCUGCAACAUGAGGGCACGCCAUAGAUGUUCCACUUAUAAUAUUAAACUUGCUGAAAAACGUUUGAGACUUCAAUUCCAACACAGGAACAUUUGUAGGCCACGCAGCUAAGAUCGAAGUACCAGGUGCAGUAAUAUCAGGUUUCAACACAAAUGGACAACUAUAUGAUGGGCCUCUUGAACUAUAAGAACUAACUCUAGGUGUUGGUUUAACACCAAAACCUGUUUCCAUGAAAGACAUGUUUGCAACUGAAGUAGCAUGGUUAGAAUUGUAAUAACUCUUUAUGUAAGCUUUGAUAAUUUCCCCAAACAUUGGAUCAACAAUGAUGGUUGCAAAACUAUUUUGUGAAUAGUAUGUACUUGAGACAUUUGAAAUCAAAACAGCACCAAAAACUUUUGCAACAUCCAAAUAAUAGACUUGAUCAUGAAUGUUAGUUCCAUUCUUUUCUUCACACACCACAAUCUUUUUCUUCGCUUUUUUCAAUUCUUUAACAUUGUCACAUAAACCCAUGAAAACAAUAGGAACAUUAUGUGUAGGGAAUGUUCCUACGUAGAGAGACAAUCCUGUGAUUUUGUUACCAUUUCCUAGUGUAAGAGUCCCAUGGAAAGUUCUGUCCAUAGUACCAGCAGCCACAGUUAUAACCCAAGGUGUUCCAUUGUGUAAUGUUUUGAGUUUUGGCCCUUCAUUUCCAGCUGAAGUGGUAACAAAAACACCUUUUUCCAUAGCUGCAAAUGUGGCUAUAGCAACAGGAUCUUCAUACAAAGGUACUUCAUCAAGACCAAAUGAUAAUGAAAGAACAUCAACACCGUCUGAUAUUGCAGCGUCAAUUGCAGCUAUUACAUCAGACGAUAGCAAUCCACCUUCCCAUAUAGCUUUAUACAUUGAUACACGUGAAUUCGAAGCUAUACCUGAAGCUUUUCCAGCUGCAUAACCAAAGAAUGAAGCUUCAUCAACUCUACUUCCGGCUGCUGUUGAUGAAGUGUGAGUCCCAUGACCUUCUGUGUCGCGUGUGGAGUUUAAUCCUAAGGUGAUGUUUGGAUAUUUUGCUAAUAUUCCUUUGUUGAAGAAUUUAGCACCAAUUAAUUUUUUGUUGCAAAGUGAUGAAUUGAAAUGAAUGCUAUUUUCACAUUUUCCUUUCCAUUUUGAAGGAAUGUUAGCAAUUCCAUUAUCUUUGAAGCUUUCACUUUCUGGCCAAACACCUGUGUCAAUCAAACCAACAAUCACAUCUUUACCAAAAUUCGAAUCAUGCCAAGCUCCUACGUUUGGAUUGAGACCAAGGAAUUGAGGUGAGUGUGUUGUGUCAAGCUUCAAGUGUAAAUCAGGUAUGGAAGAAAUGUAACCAGGAGAGUUUUUGAGAGAUUCAUGUUCUUUUGGUGACAAAUUAGCACUGAAACCAUUCAUGGCAUGCGUGUAGGUGUAAAUUAACUUAGAUGAAAUUGGAGAGUUGAGAUUAUCGGAUGUUGCAAGUUGAGGUUUCUCUAAUGCAGAGGAAAGAGUUGAUUGAUACCAUGUGUGAUGAGUUGAGAAUGCUUUAGGCAUGGCUGAUAUGUUCAUGUGUAUGAUAUAGUUAUCAGAUUGAGCUAGUGAAGGAAAUGAAGUGAUGAAAAUGAAGUGGAGGAAUAUUGCAAUAUAGUAGAACAACAUGGAUUGAGAAAUAUGGGAAGUCAUGGUUGGAAGGUGUUCUUGAAUAAUGAGAACCGGUGUGUGUUUAUAUAGAGAAACUAUAAAAUUAAACUAACAUGGAUGCAUAGGUAAGUUGGUAGCUAACUAGACUUUUAAGUUUAUAGUCAACACUCAAAAAUACAUUUCACUAAUAGGGUGAGAAUAAAUUAGACAGAGCUAAAUUUUUUAAAGCUUAAGUAUGACGUGGUUUAUAAAAGAAGCUAAUUAGGCGUCUNNNNNNNNNNNNNNNNNNNNNNNNNNNNNNNNNNNNNNNNNNNNNNNNNNNNNNNNNNNNNNNNNNNNNNNNNNNNNNNNNNNNNNNNNNNNNNNNNNNNNNNNNNNNNNNNNNNNNNNNNNNNNNNNNNNNNNNNNNNNNNNNNNNNNNNNNNNNNNNNNNNNNNNNNNNNNNNNNUACGGGGCACAAUUCAACACUAAUAUCAUUCUUAUGUCCGCAAUUGAAUUGAAUACGGAUAAUGAGAGGAUUCACCAAACAUUCAACAUAUGACAUUGGAUAUACAUUUAACAACAUAUCUGUGUUUCCUUAGUAAUUACUAAUUACACCAAGAAAUGAAUCUACUAGUGUGAGGUUGUUAGCCUCUAUCUUGCCACUAAACUUGACCACCAUUUGUUUCAAAACCAAAUAAAAGGUAGCAUACAUGUAGGAAAGAUUUCGACAAUCACGUACAACAUUAACAUUCAACAGAAAAGCAUGGUACACUCACAUGAAAGAAACCAUAACCCAUGUUGUCACCAACCCAUGUUGUCACCAACCCAUGUUGACUAAACUUUUUAAAAUAUUUUUAUUUUUUUCCCUAUUUUUAUGCAUAGAUUUAUAACUUUUUCCCCAAAAUAAUACAAUCAUACACCAGCCCAAACUUCAUAGAUUUGACCACACAAUAAUAUAUUAUAUCUAUAUAUUAUAUUAUAUAUAAUUUUACACACGAAUAUAUAAUUAAUUAAUACUGAUCACACUCACACAAGCCAUGGCCACAACCAGUACCACUAAUUUUGUGGGAGGACAAUACACAUGGUAAAGAGGACAAUAAAUAAGGAAACUUCAAACAUAGGUCACCCAAAAUAAUACAAUCAUACAUCGGCCCAAACUUCAUAGAUUUCUCCAAUUUGACACCUCUUUCUGCACCCUCAAUUGAAAAAUGCCACAACAAAGAGAUCAACUAAAAUAAAUGCCACGUACUUGUGAUUUUUUUUUUCUUUAAGAUUUGUUUUGUAUGGAAUGAGUUGAUUCUAAAUCACUCAAAUAGACAGAUACUUGAGCUCCUUAACUAUUUGAUCUUAGGUUCGAUCGAUGGUCAGUGUCUAGUUCAAAUUAUAAUUUUUCUUAGAACUGCAAUGGAACCUCAUGGGUAAGGAUAAGGUAAUGGAAUUGAUAGAUAAAUUCAUAUACCUAGGUAGGAUGGGAGAGUGGAUAAAGGGAAUAGAGAUGACCCUGGAUUAGGGGUGUAAUUUCUUUUUUUGAAUAAAAAUAUUUUAGUUCAUUAUUGUACGUGCGCGAGCGUGUGCGUAUGUGCGUGUAUGUGUCUAAUAAGUUCUUUAUGUUGUUAACUAAACCGAGAGAAAUAAACUCAAAUUCUUUCAAAUGAUUUGUAGAUCUCAUUAAACAAUUUGGUUUAAUUAAUUGGUUUGAAUACUAAAUUUUAACAUAAUCAUUUUUGUUUCUUUCAAUUAAAUCUUCUAUCUAAACUACGAAAUUUCUAAUUUUUUCCUUUUUUAUCCAAUCAAAUAAUUGCAGAAAAACGUAUAAUUUUUUUUAUCAUUUUGAUAAAUUAUAAAUUCUAAUAGUUUUUUUUCACUAAUAGUUUUGAGUAAUUAAUUUUUGAAAUUGUAUUGUUGUGUACAAAUUAAAGAAUGCCAAAAGUUUUAUACUUUACUUUAGAUAAAAAAAAAAAAAAACAGACAAUUACAUGUUUAUUUGAUCAAAGGGUUGUUGUGCUCAGGACCCUUUGUUUUACUCUUAGAAAGGGGCUCCACCUUUGUUAUACUACUGAAGUUAAGCUGAACUGUUUUGUAUUGAGUGUGGCAUGUCUUAUGCCUUAGAGAAACUCUUACUUGGGCACAAGUCCAACACUUGUCAUGAAAAAAAAAUAAAAAAUUAUUCGAACAUUUUAAAAUGCAAAAUCAUUUAUAAUCAUAAUGUUCUCCAACAUAUAUCCUUCUCAAUUAAUGAAAAAGUAUAGUGAGUGUCAAAAGUAACUCUCUUGAGGUGUCGAAUUUUCAACACCCCUAGUAAGGGUCGUCGGUCGGUCCCCUAUAAGACAUCUCACUUAAGAUUAAUUUUCAACAUCCCUAUUAGUGUUACCUGCACAUUAAGAUCAAUUUUUCCAUUCCAAUCAUUGCCUGAGAAAUCUGAAACAAAAAAACAGCACAAAGCCAGAAAAACACCAAAUCUAAUCUCUGGUAAAUUGACAAUCCAAACUAUAGGAUCAGACUGCUAUAAUAGACUACUAAUCAAUUUUACUGCCUUCCAUAUAGUAAACUCAAAUCAAUAAUAUGGACACAUUCAGUCCCUACAAAACUACAUGAAUUUGGACCACACCUUAUAAGAUAAUAGAUAUGUCAAGAAAAGUUGCAUGGUUGCACAUCUCAGGACCAUUAAAAAUUAUCACUGUUAAAAAAUUAUAAAUAUCAUAAACAUAAUAAUGAAUCCUACAAAAUAAUUUUAGUUAAGUGAGAAAUGAAUAUUAUUUAUCAUAACUUAAUUUGCAUUCAUCGAUUGACUCAUGAUAAUAACCUCUCCAACAUCAUUCUUCACUACAAUUACAUUACAUAGAUAGUGGUGACCACAAUUGGACUCCUAACAACAUGCUUUACAUCCAUCCAAGUUAGAGAUCCAAUAUUCACAUAUUUUGUCAUAUUUGAAACUUCAAUCCUCAACUUGUAACUUAACUUCUCAUUCUUCUCUUUGAACACCAAUUUGUUUGGAAUAACACUGACAUGGAACCCUUCAAUUGGAGUAAUGCUAGCAACAUAAGUUGUUUGUCCCUCACCAACAUUGGUCACUGUUCUGUGAAAUUCUUGUAUUGUACUUGAAGAAGAAUUUCUUCCAUCGAAGAAAGCAAUAAAAGAAGGGUAGUUGAGAUCCAAUGAAGGUUUAGAGCAAUCAUUGGAAGAAGAUCUUGUAAUGGUAGUGAUGUUUUGUUGUGAGUAAUCAAGUGCACAAAGAAGAUUAACAUAAUCUUUUACACCAACAUCAUAAACAAGACCAGGAUCAAGUGCUCUAUUAGGAUUAAUAUGACCAGCUCCUAAUGCAAAAGGUGUUGCUAUGUAACCUGUAUCAAUUUCUUUGAUUUGUUCGUUAGUAUUAUCAAAUAUGUCUGAUGUUGUCAUUAUGGCCGAACGAAUAGCCGCAGGACUCCAGUCAUGGUGUGCACCUUUUAUAAGCGCUGCUACGCCUGCAACAUGAGGACAUGACAUAGAUGUUCCACUUUCUAUAUUGAAUUUACUGAAAAAUUUAUGAGCAUUCAAUUGCAACACAGGAACAUUUGUAGGCCAUGCUGCUAAGAUCGAAGUACCGGGCGCAGUAAUGUCAGGUUUCAACACAAAUGGACAACUAAAUGAUGGGCCUCUUGAACUAUAAGAAUCAACAGUAGGUGCUGGUUUAACAUCAAAACCUGUUUUCAUGAAAGACAUGCUUGCCGAUGAAGUAGAAUUGUAAUACCUCUUGAUGUAAGCUUUGACAAUUUC